AACGAACGCUGGCGGCAUGCCUAACACAUGCAAGUCGAACGAGACCUUCGGGUCUAGUGGCGCACGGGUGCGUAACGCGUGGGAACCUGCCCUUAGGUUCGGAAUAACUCCCCGAAAGGGGUGCUAAUACCGGAUAAUGUCUUCGGACCAAAGAUUUAUCGCCUUUGGAUGGGCCCGCGUUGGAUUAGCUAGUUGGUAGGGUAAAAGCCUACCAAGGCGACGAUCCAUAGCUGGUCUGAGAGGAUGAUCAGCCACACUGGGACUGAGACACGGCCCAGACUCCUACGGGAGGCAGCAGUGGGGAAUAUUGGACAAUGGGCGAAAGCCUGAUCCAGCAAUGCCGCGUGAGUGAUGAAGGCCUUAGGGUUGUAAAGCUCUUUUACCCGGGAUGAUAAUGACAGUACCGGGAGAAUAAGCGUCGGCUAACUCCGUG
rnacentral:rRNA from 1 species